UUACGGCGAUAUCAAUUUGAAACACCUGUUCCCGUACGAUCACGCAGUUAAACAACGUUGAGCCUGGUCAAUACCUAGAUGGGUGACAUCUUGGGAAUG